rnacentral:piRNA from 1 species
AAUGUACUGUAACUCCAAUUCCAAU